rnacentral:sRNA from 1 species
GCAAAAUACAAUAAACUGGUUUGACCAGGUGUAAUUUCUGGGUAAAUACGUAAUAUUAUUAUCUAAAUCACGUGAUCAGAAAACUCCUUAUAUUUUUAGAUAUCGAUCCACGGGUACUCAAUAAUCAAAGAGAGAUAACUCUUUUGGGACAACAGUAUAAAUAUAUAUGUAAAUAUGACCCCUAUUACAUUUUCCCCCCUGUUACAAUAAAUGACGUCCUCGUCAUCCAUGUGAAAAAAAAUCAUAAUAAUAACAAUUUCUAAUUAGUACGUUGCAAAAAUAUAUACACAUUCAUCAAAUAUUACACUCUUUCAUAGAAUAUAUAUCAAUGUACAUGAGAAGAAAUGAUUUCACCUAGCACAUAUAUCAAAUAAAUCAAUACUGUUCAAUUAUCACAUAUAUCAUGUAGAUAUCAUACAUAUCAUAUCACUCAAUGUCCAUACAGUGUUGUUUUUUUAAAAUCAAGUUUCCAUGUAACCAAUUCCAGAAAUGUCUUUUUAACAGCUGGAUCAUCCAUGAAAUUGUCUUUGUUAAUCAAUGACUUCAGGUAAUCAGCUCGUGACAUCCAAUCAACGUUCAUUGUUUUACAAACAUAAUCACCAGAUUUUAUCCAUUCCGGCUGUCUUCUCUCUCUUGAUCUUCUCGGUUGCUGCCGAGGUGUGUCCUGUGCGUCAUUACUGUCACCACUUGUAUCUACACUUUGGUGUUCAUUUUCCGUCGUUGUAUCAUUUGACAUGGAAUUGUCAAUCACACAUUUGUUGAGUACACUCACUCCGACGAAUCACUGUUUUCAGGUUCCAAUAUAUCCUUUUCAUUUGGAGUAUUUGGAUCUGAAUCUUGUACCGGUACAUUUCCUUCUUCUUCUUCUGUAUUGUUAGUUGAUUUACUAACACUGCCAGCUGGUCUCACGUUUGUAUAAGUAAUGACUUUAUCGUCUGAAUCUUCAACGACAUCAUCGAUGUGGUCUUCAGACUCCUUCGUUGAUAAGCUCUCAUCAAGAGUUGUCCUUCUUUGUACAGGGACUGGUUUCACUCUUCUUUCAUCCUCAGCCUCAAUGAAAAUCAUGCGUUUCCUUGGUUUAGGCUUUGGUGGUGGAGGUGACUCGUUUUGGUUACAGGUUUUAUAUGGCGUGAGUAGAUUUCUGUGUAAAGUUCUUGUUUGACCUGUAUUGUCCUCUUUUCUAACUACAAACACAGGUAUAUCUGGAUUAGGUCUUGAGAUCAUAUCAUAAAUAUCUUGCUCCCAUUUGUCCGCAAUCUUGUGUCUACCAUCAUGUGCCACAAUUUUCACUAAGAUUUAUCCCCUGGUUGAAUAAAAGUGCUCCUAACUUUUAUAUCAUAAUUCCUCUUUUGAGCAUCUUGGGAUGUACCAGUGUUUUUCUGUGCAAGUUUAAAAGAAUUCUUAAGUUUCUGCUUCAAGUCUUCAAUAUACUUGUGUAAUGGU